ACAGAGGUGGCAAGCGUUGUUCGGAUUUAUUGGGCGUAAAGGGUCCGUAGGCGGUUUGAAAAGUCGGAUGUGAAAUCCCACAGCUUAACUGUGGAACUGCAUUCGAAACUUUCAGACUCGAGUGUGAUAGGGGUAAAGGGAAUUCCCCGUGUAGGUGUGAAUUGAGCAGAGAUGGGGAGGAACACCAAUCGCGAAGGCAGCAACCGGGAUCACUACUGACGCUCAUGCACGAAAGCGAGUGUAGCAAAAAG
rnacentral:rRNA from 1 species